AGUAGCUGGGCUUGAGGGAUUUGGCUUCUACCUUUCCCCGGAUGAGCGCCAGAGAAACGAGGUAAAAUAAAAGGCCCGCAUCUUCCCUCACGGCAAGCCCGAGGACCUCCCCUCACCGCCGUCGGCUUCGAUUCCGACAAAGCGCUACUCGAGGCCAUCCCAAUCCCUAACCCUCGCUGGCGCCGGCCGGUAGGCCCUCGUUCGUCCGGGACGCCAUGCGCUUGGCCGCCGGCGCCGUCUCCGUCGCCUCCGCGCCUCUCGCUGCCGGUGCUGAGGCUCGGGCCCGCCGUCGAGGGUGCUCUGCUGCGAGGAGAUCGAUGGUCGGCGGUGGAACUACGUCGUCGAUUUGGAGGGUUCCUGAAAGCUCCGGAGGGGCUCGGCGUUGUAGGCCGUCUCGUUGCAGACCCCAGCAGCUCCAGUGGACGAUUUUAAAGAUCCUAGGUGGUGCCUGAAGGCUUUCCUGGUAGUGCUACCCCUUCUUAUGUGCCAUACAUGACAUGGAGAGCUUUGAAGGUAUUCUUUUUGACAAAAUGCAUUUCUGAUACUGAAUUUGCACCCUUUGUUACUUGAGACUAACCAAUUUUUAAAUGUUAUUGUGUAUAAAUUGGCUUUUAAGUAUGUUGCUUUCCUAUUGACAAAGUUGACUUUGGCAACCUUUUUUUUUUUACUGGAAUAAAAUAAAGUAUUUUGACUUGUUUCUAGCUUAAGCAUUUUGUUCUAUCUACAUUUUUUUCACAUUGUUGUACACGGUUAAUCAACUAACCUAUGUGAACUUUGAGGCUCUAUAGUUGUUCAAUAGAGAACUUCUUUCAAUUUAGUAGGUAAGUUGUUGCUUGUAAUAAUUUGUCAAUGGUUUGACAACUGCUACCCAUUCAGCUGUUUCAUAAAGGAAAAAGGGGUUCCCAUAAAUGAACUUCCAUUAUCUUUUGUUCCAUUAUCUAAUAACGGGAAUAUGUUUAACUAUUUAAAAGUUUGCUUCUGAUUUCAUCCUUUUUGCUGGAUCUGGUUGUGAGGCAGUUGCAUAAUAUCUCUCUAAUUACCAGUUAGAUGGACUUGGGUAUAGCCAUGAAUGGGGAACGUGGAUGGGAGAUCAGGUCAAAUGCUGAUAAGUACUUGUAUUGCUACUGCUGGCGGACCAAUCCCAAUCAACUGCAAGGCCCAUUUGUGGCUCUGGAUACCACAAUAAAACAUUUAUUAAUCUUUAACUUUCCUCUUAUUUCUAUUUCAAUCACGGGGCUCAGUCGUCUGAAAACAUUUCUAACCUAUUUCACAAUGUGGAUUAUAUUUGUUAUAGGGAUGGAUUAUGACAGAAUCAUUGCGUAAUCAUGGGAGAGCUCGGCUAUGUGGGCUAAAAGAAGAGUAAUGCUUCAUAAAAAUCGAGCAGUUUUAUUUCUUUCCCUGGGACAUCUCAUGGUUUAAAUACUACAAUUGAGAGUGGAACUGGCACUCUAUGCUUGAAACUAGCUCUUUAACUGAGAUGACAGCCAUGGCUACUCCAGAUAUUAUCUUCCGUCACACUGUAUCUAGAUACCCUAACCCCAAAUUGUAUUCUUAGCUGUGGAUCUUUCCAAUCAGCAAAUGGCAAGAAAUUCAUCUGUGUUCAGCUUGGAAGCUAACUGCUCUUGGAAUCUAUUGUCAUUAUGAACAUAUAAGUUGAUUCAUUCGUAGCUUGGCAAACUCCCUAUAGUGAACACAAAUUUUCUGAGCCGUUACCUUCCAGCCUUUUUAGUUAUACCUUUUUUCCUCCACAAGAUUUUGUAGUAGUACUGUGUUGAAUACUCAGGAACACUGAGUUUCUAAUGGAAGCCUUUUUAGGUGCAAGUCAUUAAGUGGAAUGGUUUGUGCUAUGGUAGUUGAAGAAAGGGGAUAGAUCUUUCCUGACUUUACCGAAGUUAUCACAUCAGUGUAUAUACCUUUGUGUAACUUGAUUUGUAAGUCAUCUAUUUUACUAUGGUGAUCAGUAAUCAACAACAGGUGAUAACAGGUUUGAUAUCUUCUCUUUUUUUUUUUCUUUUUGUUUGUAGACUUUCCUAUUGCUAUUAUGAUAUGAACUGUUCCUGUUUAAUCUGCAAAGCACCGGGUGAUUCAUUUGAUC